CCUACGGGUGGCAGCAGUGAGGAAUAUUGGUCAAUGGGCUUACGCCUGAACCAGCCAAGUCGCGUGAAGGAAGACUGCCCUAUGGGUUGUAAACCUCUUUUGUCAGGGAGCAACGCCGGCUACGUGUAGCCGGACGGAGGGUACCUGAAGAAAAAGCAUCGGCUAACUCCGUGCCAGCAGCGGCGUUAAUAGGGAGGAUGGGAGCGUUAUCCGGUUUUAUGGGGUUAAAGGGGUGCGUAGUCGGAAUUCCAAGUCAGCGGUAAAAUCGCGGGGUUAAACCUCGCUCUGCCGUUGAAACUGGCGUUCUUGAGUGGGCGAGAAGUAUGCGGAAUGCGUGGUGUAGCGGUGAAAUGCAUAGAUAUCACGCAGAACUCCGAUUGCGAAGGCAGCAUACUGGCGCCCAACUGACGCUGAAGCACGAAAGCGUGGGUAUCGAACAGGAUUAGAUACCCUGGUAGUC
rnacentral:rRNA from 1 species